UACGUAGGGGGGCUAGCGUUGUCCGGAAUCAUUGGGCGUAAAGAGCGUGUAGGCGGCCUGACAGGUCUGCUGUGAAAACUCGAGGCUCAACCUCGAGAUGUCGGCGGAAACCGUCUGGCUAGAGUCCGGAAGAGGAGAGUGGAAUUCCUGGUGUAGCGGUGAAAUGCGCAGAUAUCAGGAAGAACACCUAUGGCGAAGGCAGCUCUCUGGGACGGUACUGACGCUGAGACGCGAAAGCGUGGGGAGCGAACAGG
rnacentral:rRNA from 1 species